AGAGUUUGAUCAUGGCUCAGAUUGAACGCUGGCGGCAUGCCUUACACAUGCAAGUCGAACGGUAACAGGUUAAGCUGACGAGUGGCGAACGGGUGAGUAAUAUAUCGGAACGUGCCCAGUUGUGGGGGAUAACUGCUCGAAAGAGCAGCUAAUACCGCAUACGACCUGAGGGUGAAAGCGGGGGAUCGCAAGACCUCGCGCAAUUGGAGCGGCCGAUAUCAGAUUAGCUAGUUGGCGGGGUAAAAGCCCACCAAGGCGACGAUCUGUAGCUGGUCUGAGAGAACGACCAGCCACACUGGGACUGAGACACGGCCCAGACUCCUACGGGAGGCAGCAGUGGGGAAUUUUGGACAAUGGGGGCAACCCUGAUCCAGCCAUGCCGCGUGUGUGAAGAAGGCCUUCGGGUUGUAAAGCACUUUCGGACGGAACGAAAUCGCACGGGUGAAUAUCCCGUGUGGAUGACGGUACUGUAAGAAGAAGCACCGGCUAACUACGUGCCAGCAGCCGCGGUAAUACGUAGGGUGCGAGCGUUAAUCGGAAUUACUGGGCGUAAAGCGUGCGCAGGCGGCUUCGCAAGUCAGACGUGAAAUCCCCGGGCUUAACCUGGGAAUGGCGUUUGAAACUACGGAGCUGGAGUGUGGCAGAGGGAGGUAGAAUUCCACGUGUAGCGGUGAAAUGCGUAGAUAUGUGGAGGAAUACCGAUGGCGAAGGCAGCCUCCUGGGCCAACACUGACGCUCAUGCACGAAAGCGUGGGGAGCAAACAGGAUUAGAUACCCUAGUAGUCC
rnacentral:rRNA from 1 species